rnacentral:rRNA from 5 species
UGUGACCUCAAAUCAGGUAGGACUACCCGCUGAACUUAAGCAUAUCAAUAAGCGGAGGAAAAGAAACUAACAAGGAUUCCCCUAGUAACUGCGAGUGAAGCGGGAAAAGCUCAAAUUUAAAAUCUGGCGGUCUUUUGGCUGUCCGAGUUGUAAUCUAGAGAAGUGUUAUCCGCGCUGGACCGUGUACAAGUCUCCUGGAAUGGAGCAUCAUAGAGGGUGAGAAUCCCGUCUUUGACAUGGACUGCCAGGGCUUUGUGAUGCGCUCUCAAAGAGUCGAGUUGUUUGGGAAUGCAGCUCAAAAUGGGUGGUAAAUUCCAUCUAAAGCUAAAUAUUGGCGAGAGACCGAUAGCGAACAAGUACCGUGAGGGAAAGAUGAAAAGAACUUUGGAAAGAGAGUUAAACAGUACGUGAAAUUGCUGAAAGGGAAACGCUUGAAGUCAGUCACGUCGUCCAGGGAUCAACCUUGCUUUUGCUUGGUGCACUUUCUGGUUUGACGGGUCAGCAUCAAUUUUGACUAUUGGAAAAAGGCUCUAGGGAAUGUGGCAUCUUCGGAUGUGUUAUAGCCCUUGGUCAUAUACAAUGGUUGGGAUUGAGGAACUCAGCACGCCGCAAGGCCGGG